rnacentral:rRNA from 1 species
UACGAAGGGGGCUAGCGUUGUUCGGAAUUACUGGGCGUAAAGCGCGCGCAGGCGGCUAUCCAAGUCAGUGGUGAAAGCCCGGAGCUCAACUCCGGAACUGCCAUUGAAACUGUUUAGCUUGAGGACGAGAGAGGUGCGUGGAAUUCCCAGUGUAGAGGUGAAAUUCGUAGAUAUUGGGAAGAACACCGGUGGCGAAGGCGGCUCACUGGCUCGUAUCUGACGCUCAGGCGCGAUAGCGUGGGGAUCAAACAGG